ensembl:lncRNA
GCCAAAGUCCCUGGGCAGGGACUCCCACACACCCCACCCUCCCAGCCCGCAAGGAGCCAGGGGCAAUGGGGAGCCUCAUGGACAGGUGUUGGAGGCUUCCAGAGAAAGAAGAGUGUCUGGCAGGCCACCAGCUUCAACAGAGGGGUCAAGGCUGAGGGAGGGGGACUUUCAGGUCACACCCAGGCCCCUCUCUGUUGGCCAGCCCACUUAUCCCAUGUUAGCCCCUGCAGGUCCCAACAGAGCUGCAACCCAGCAGUUUCCCUUGUAAGGCCUAGGCUGAGGGUAGCCCUCACGCUCUAUUCUUACCCCAGCCCCCAGGGAUGCAGCAAAAGUAGCUGUCGUGCCCCUGCUGACAGGUGUGGGUCACCCCAGGGGGUUGUGCUGCAAGAGUGGGAGGGGGGAGAAGAACCAACAGUUCCCUCUUCUCUCCCCAGGUGGCCCCGUGAGGCCACUCAGGCUGUCAAGGCACAGCAUCAGUGGUGGCCGCCCUCAGGAUUUGUGCAAAAUGACAGACCCACUAGAUUCUCCCCAACUCACCCCUGUUCAGUUGCUGGAAAACAGAGACCUGUUGCUUUGCUCCCCAAGCCCUGUGGGAACACACACACUCACACUACCCUGCACUCCUCAGCUCAGAGAGGUCCUACCCGACAGCAGUAAGAACCAAAACCUCUGCGCUAAAAAAGUCCCUCAGGGACCACCACCCUCAGCCUCCUGCCCACCUGCCUGGUCCCGAAAAUUCCUCCAGCCUUGGCCCCAGUCUCAGUCCCUCCCAUCCCCCAAAGCAGUGUCCCAGCCUAGGGCAGCUGAACAGCCUGAGUAAGGGAUCACCCCCAGGGGGCCAGACAUUUAAGGAACCAGUGACUCCUGGUGGCCCCAUUGCAGGGGCAAAGGGAGAAGGAGACUGGCCAGUCUGCAGCCCAGGCACCAGCUGAGCCUCCAAGGCCGUGGACAAAGCAGUCGAGGGUUAAGAAGGAUUGGUCACACUAAGGUAAGUCUUCCCUCUUCCCUCAGGAAAAGGGCAGAGUCUGCUACCUUCUGAGCCCAGAGACAGCAGGAGCUGGGACAGGGGAGCUGGUCUCAGAACUGGGAGAGCAAAACAGGCCAGGCAGAGACGUAUCAAUCACCGGGUGAGAGGGUAAAGUUUAGUCCCACACCUUCCAGCUCGAAAGAAAACUGUGCAGUCCCCUGGAAGGGCACUGGUCUGGGAGUCCCGAAGCCAAGGUUGUGGCCUGAGUGUCUUUGGAUAGUUUCUCUUAAACAGAAUAGGGUUUUUAAAACUGCCACUCUGGUGAAAUCGAAGGUGCUAUGGAGCUGUUAACAAGAAUGAGGAAACUUUGAACUGGGAUGGGAAGCUCUCCACGAGGCAUAAAGUAAAAAGAGAGCUUAAGAGUGUGUAUACGAGGCUACUUUACAUGUAAAAAAGGACAGUGCAGACAAAGACAUGCUCCUGUUUGUGUGAAGGAGCUCCAGAAGGAGCCCAGAGACCGCAAGUGGUUACCUGCUGGGGAGGGUUGGGAGAGGGCCGGGGAGGGGAGGGAGCUCCUUCACACGGAGUUUCUAUUGUUUUAUUUUUUAACUGUGAAUUAUCAAUUCCAGAGGGGGAAAAAUUUGGGAAAUAAGAAUGUAACCUCUGUCUUUACCAUAUCACAAGUGACAA